GGUCUCGUAGUGUAGCGGUUAACACGGGGUUCGAAUCCCGUCGAGACCG
rnacentral:tRNA from 2 species